AAGCCAUGCAUGUACUAAGUAUAAGCCAAUCUAUACUGUGAAACUGCGAAUGGCUCAUUAAAUCAGUUAUCGUUUAUUUGAUAGUACCUUACUACUUGGAUAACCGUGGUAAUUCUAGAGCUAAUACAUGCUAAAAACCUCGACUUCGGAAGGGGUGUAUUUAUUAGAUAAAAAACCAAUGCCCUUCGGGGCUCCUUGGUGAUUCAUAAUAACUUAACGAAUCGCAUGGCCUUGUGCCGGCGAUGGUUCAUUCAAAUUUCUGCCCUAUCAACUUUCGAUGGUAGAGUAGUGGUCUACCAUGGUUUCAACGGGUAACGGGGAAUUAGGGUUCUAUUCCGGAGAGGGAGCCUGAGAAACGGCUACCACAUCCAAGGAAGGCAGCAGGCGCGCAAAUUACCCAAUCCCGACACGGGGAGGUAGUGACAAUAAAUACUGAUACAGGGCUCUUUUGGGUCUUGUAAUUGGAAUGAGUUCAAUUUAAAUCCCUUAACGAGAACAAUUGGAGGGCAAGUCUGGUGCCAGCAGCCGCGGUAAUUCCAGCUCCAAUAGCGUAUAUAAAGUUGUUGCAGUUAAAAAGCUCGUAGUUGAACCUUGGGCCUGGCUGGCCGGUCCGCCUCACCGCGUGCACUGGUCCGGCCGGGUCUUUCCUUCUGGGGAGCCGCAUGCCCUUCACUGGGUGUGUCGGGGAACCAGGACUUUUACUUUGAAAAAAUUAGAGUGUUCAAAGCAGGCCUAUGCUCGAAUACAUUAGCAUGGAAUAAUAGAAUAGGACGUGUGGUUCUAUUUUGUU
rnacentral:rRNA from 1 species